GCCGGCUCCCGGAGGAAGUGGGGGCCAGACAGGCCCGGGCUGGGUCCGCUCGCCCUGGGGAGGGCUGGGGUUCACCACGGCCGCCCUGCGGGUUCUCGACAUUAACGCACGGGUUCUCGACAUUAACGCACGCGUGGUGGAGGGAUCCCUGGCUCCGUCUCCCUUAGAGAAACUGCACCACCGAACAGGUGCGUCAUGACCUAGAGCUCCCUCGUUAUUUUGUCAUUAGAGCCGUGCCGGUGAGAGUCAGAGGAACGGCAUUGGCAUGCAGGAAGGGAGCUGGGGUUGGAGGAGAGCCAAAGGGAGGACCCGUUGUAAACUGGCAGAAAAGACAAAGCCAGUGUGCGGUGGCACACCCAUCACCACAGCACUCAGGAGGCUGAGGCAGGAGGAUCGCUGCGAGCUUGAGGCCAGCCCGAACUCCACACUGAGACCCUGUCUCAAAAAAGAGUGGAGAAAAGUAGAUCAUGAACAGACUUAGAAAAGUGUCCUUGACUGGAGUGAGAAACCCUUGUCCACAUAAGCCGUGUGGCUGAGCGGGAAAGAGAGAGGAAGACUUGGGAGGCUGAGG